GGUCGUGCUGGCCCGCGGGCUGGGGUCCGAGUUCGUGCCGCGGCUGAACGAGGGGGCCCUCACGCUCACCGUCUUCCGGCUGCCGGGCACGACCU
rnacentral:tRNA from 1 species